UCACCGCUUGCGCGGGCAGUCUCAUUAGAGUUCCCAGCUUUACCUGAUGGCAACUAAUGAUAGGGGUUGCGCUCGUUACGGGACUUAACCCAACACCUCACGGCACGAGCUGACGACAGCCAUGCAGCACCUAGUUUCGUGCAAUUGCUUGCUGCCAUGUUUCUACGGCAUUCACUAACUUUCAAGCCCAGGUAAGGUUCCUCGCGUAUCAUCGAAUUAAACCACAUGCUCCUCCGCUUGUGCGGGCCCCCGUCAAUUCCUUUGAGUUUCAGCCUUGCGGCCGUACUCCCCAGGUGGAUCACUUAACGCUUUCGCUAAGCCACUGGCAGUGUAUCGCCAACAGCGAGUGAUCAUAGUUUAGGGCGUGGACUAC
rnacentral:misc_RNA from 1 species